CGCACGAGAGCAGCACUUGGCUACAGCAAGACAUGAUACACCGUAAACUGCGGCACGGCUCACGUUAAAAGCCUGCGCAGCCGACGUUCCUCUCCGACAUCAACGGCAGAUGGACCUACGACUUUCACCAUGGCCGCUAUUGUAUCAACUCGUCAUCAGCCGAGGGAGUGAGAACGCAGAGAGAGUGCGUUUGAAAUAACAACUAACGUACAACGCAGAAUCAGCCUAUUGAGUUAUAUUCCGGACAUGAGCACUUUCAGGAGGACCCUGCACUCCUUACUACAUAGAGCGUGGACUCAAGAAAUGAUUAUUGGCAAAGACAUUAUUUUUAAGAGUAGUUAAGGCUGAAUUUCCCCAAUGGCAAGAACUGAAGGCAUAUAUGCAUAUUUAGGGAAAUUUUACGAUCACUGUUACUUCUAGUAAGUUCGUAAUCUUAUUCGUAGAACGUGCAGAUGAAAAAUGUGUAAGGUGCAUACGCUUUUCCGUGUCAUAACCUAACCCCUUUUGCCAAAAAAACCUGAAAUCUAAAGAUGUAAGGCAAUUACGUGGAACAUGAUAUAACUAACACCCAGCAGUCACGGAAUCUCCACGAUGUCCCUUAUUUUUUGCUAACAUGUAAAGCACGUGAAGAGCGGCGAAAUCUACAUUCUGAUUGCGGCAUUAAGAAGUGACUCGGAUUCACUGCCAUUCUUCCUGAAUGCAGACAACUUAUAACAGAUCACACUGUAAAUCAAACGCAGAAUGUAAAGUGCGUGAAAUAAAGGUAAGUUCUAAAAUGUUCAAAAUUGAAAUCAUCAAU